rnacentral:misc_RNA from 1 species
GAUGAAGAACGUAGCGAAAUGCGAUAAGUAAUGUGAAUUGCAGAAUUCAGUGAAUCAUCGAAUCUUUGAACGCACAUUGCGCCCCCUGGUAUUCCGGGGGGCAUGCCUGUUCGAGCGUCAUUUCACCACUCAAGCCUCGCUUGGUAUUGGGCAACGCGGUCCGCCGCGUGCCUCAAAUCGACCGGAUGGGUCUUCUGUCCCCUAAGCGUUGUGGAAACUAUUCGCUAAAGGGUGUUCGGGAGGCUACGCCGUAAAACAACCCCAUUUCUAAGGUUGACCUCGGAUCAGGUAGGGAUACCCGCUGAACUUAAGCAUAUCAAUAAGCGGAGGA